CUUAAGCAUAUCAAUAAGCGGAGGAAAAGAAACUAACAAGGAUUCCCCUAGUAACGGCGAGUGAAGUGGGAAAAGCUCAACUUUAAAAUCUGGCAGCUUCGCUGUCCGAGUUGUAGUCUCGAGAAGUGUUUUCCGCGCUGGAUCGUGUAUGAGUCUGUUGGAAUACAGCGUCAUAGAGGGUGAGAACCCCGUUCAUGACACGACUACCAGUGCUUUGUGAUACACUUUCGAUGAGUCGAGUUGUUUGGGAAUGCAGCUCAAAAUGGGUGGUAAAUUCCAUCUAAAGCUAAAUAUUGGCGAGAGACCGAUAGCAAACAAGUACCGUGAGGGAAAGAUGAAAAGCACUUUGGAAAGAGAGUUAACAGUACGUGAAAUUGUCGAAAGGGAAACGCUUGAAGUCAGACGUGCGCGGUGCGAUUCAGCCUUGGUUCGCCAGGGUGUACUUCGUACCAUUGCAGGCCAGCAUCGGUUUUGUGAGCCGGAUAAAGGUUAGAGGAAGGUAGCGGUCCAGGCCGUGUUAUAGCCUCUAACUGAAUACGGAUUGUGAGACCGAGGGACGCAGCGCGCCGCAAGGCAAAGGGUCCGCCCUUUUCGCGCUUAGGAUGCUGGUGAAAUGGCUUUAAACGACCCGUCUUGAAACACGGACCAAGGAGUCUAACA
rnacentral:rRNA from 1 species